rnacentral:lncRNA from 1 species
CAACCUACUUGCAUAAAUGCUGCUAGAUAAAUGUUCAAGAAAACCACUGAAUCAUUCAUUGACUGCUUUUACCUUUUUAGCACAAUUUGAAAUCAUGAACAGGGAAGAAGUGAAGAUUCUUGGCUCCGGAGUAAGCCCAUUUGAAUGGAGAAUUAUUUGGGGCAUUGAAACUGAAAGGUAUUGAGUUUGAAUUCAUAAAAGAAGAUAUAUUUAAGAAGAGCUCAUUGCUCUUAGAGAGUAAUCCAGUUUACAAGAUGAUUCCAGUGUUCAUUCAUGGUGAAAAAGCCAUACCUGAUUCCCUUGUCAUUCUUUAGUAUAUUGAUGAGACAUGGAUACAGAACCCGAUUAUGCCGAAAGAUCCUCGCGAGAGAGCCUACACACGGUUUUGGGCAAAAUUUUCAGAAGAUCAGGUAAGCUAAGAUUAAGAUUUCAUCUUAAAAGGUCAACUUAGUCAGCAUGAAU